rnacentral:lncRNA from 1 species
GACAAGGGUUUCAGGAACACACUUAAAAUCAUUAAAUGAGACAUAGACUUUACCCUGAUUCCUAUGAUCACCUCAGUAAAGAAAAGUGUUCACAGCAAGAAUAAGGUAACCCCUGCUGCAGCCAUUUCAAAAUAUGUCAAAGAAAUAAGAGAUGAAGAUAAAGAAGAAGGAAAUGAAUCCAGCAAAUUUGAGAAUGAAUGGGGUCUUGCUCGGUCACCUAGGCUGAGGUGCAGUGGCACAGUGACAGUUCACUAUAACCUUGAACACCUGGGUUCAAGUGAUCUUCCUGCCUUGGCCUUCCAGAGGGCUUGGAUUACAGGGCCAUAA